rnacentral:rRNA from 1 species
UAACGUGAGCGUCCUAAGGUAGCGCGAUAAUUUGCUUUUCAAUUGAAGGAUGGUAUGAAAGGGUUAACGAAGAAGGUGCUGUGUCUAAAAAUUCAAUUUAAACUAACUUUAAGGUGAAGAGGCCUUUAUGUAAAAGAAGGACGACAAGACCCUAUGAAGUUUUAUCUUAAUUGGAGCUCUCAGGCUCUUAUACGAUUUUGAUGGGAGAUCAGUAGAAAGAAGUCUUCUACUAUCAUAUUAAUCUUACUAGUAUUUCCUAACUUUAUAUGUGUGGCUAGCUACUCUAGGGAUAACAGCGCAAUUUCUCCCGAAAGAUGGUAUUGGAGGGGAAGAUUGCGACCUCGAUGUUGGCUUUAGAUAUCCUAGAGGCGUAGAAGCUUCU